rnacentral:rRNA from 1 species
AUUGAACGCUAGCGGGAUGCUUUACACAUGCAAGUCGAACGGCAGCGCGGACUUCGGUCUGGCGGCGAGUGGCGAACGGGUGAGUAAUGUAUCGGAACGUGCCCAGUAGCGGGGGAUAACUACGCGAAAGCGUAGCUAAUACCGCAUACGCCCUACGGGGGAAAGCAGGGGAUCGUAAGACCUUGCACUAUUGGAGCGGCCGAUAUCGGAUUAGCUAGUUGGUGAGGUAACGGCUCACCAAGGCGACGAUCCGUAGCUGGUUUGAGAGGACGACCAGCCACACUGGAACUGAGACACGGCCAAGACUCCUACGGGAGGCAGCAGUGGGGAAUUUUGGACAAUGGGGGCAACCCUGAUCCAGCCAUCCCGCGUGUGCGAUGAAGGCCUUCGGGUUGUAAAGCACUUUUGGCAGGAAAGAAACGUCGCGGGCUAAUACCCCGUGGAACUGACGGUACCUGCAGAAUAAGCACCGGCUAACUACGUG